GGCUCAGAUUGAACGCUGGCGGCAUGCCUUACACAUGCAAGUCGAACGGCAGCACGGGGGCAACCCUGGUGGCGAGUGGCGAACGGGUGAGUAAUACAUCGGAACGUGCCCAUGUCGUGGGGGAUAACGUAGCGAAAGCUACGCUAAUACCGCAUACGAUCUAAGGAUGAAAGCGGGGGACCGUAAGGCCUCGCGCGAUUGGAGCGGCCGAUGGCAGAUUAGGUAGUUGGUGGGGUAAAGGCUCACCAAGCCUGCGAUCUGUAGCUGGUCUGAGAGGACGACCAGCCACACUGGGACUGAGACACGGCCCAGACUCCUACGGGAGGCAGCAGUGGGGAAUUUUGGACAAUGGGCGCAAGCCUGAUCCAGCCAUUCCGCGUGCAGGAUGAAGGCCUUCGGGUUGUAAACUGCUUUGUACGGAACGAAACGGUGAUCUCUAAUACAGGUUGCUAAUGACGGUACCGUAAGAAUAAGCACCGGCUAACUACGUG
rnacentral:rRNA from 1 species